rnacentral:ncRNA from 1 species
AAAACGGAGAGUUUGAUCCUGGCUCAGGAUGAACGCUGGCGGUAUGCUUAACACAUGCAAGUCGAACGGACUCUUCGGAGUUAGUGGCGGACGGGUGAGUAACGCGUGAGAAUCUGGCUUCAGGUUCGGGACAACAGUUGGAAACGGCUGCUAAUACCGGAUGUGCCUGUGGGUGAAAGAUUUAUCACCUGAAGAUGAGCUCGCGUCUGAUUAGCUAGUAGGUGUGGUAAGAGCGCACCUAGGCGACGAUCAGUAGCUGGUCUGAGAGGAUGACCA